AGUGAACGCUGGCGGUAGGCCUAACACAUGCAAGUCGAACGGCAGCACAGUAAGAGCUUGCUCUUACGGGUGGCGAGUGGCGGACGGGUGAGGAAUACAUCGGAAUCUACUUUUUCGUGGGGGAUAACGUAGGGAAACUUACGCUAAUACCGCAUACGACCUACGGGUGAAAGCAGGGGAUCUUCGGACCUUGCGCGAUUGAAUGAGCCGAUGUCGGAUUAGCUAGUUGGCGGGGUAAAGGCCCACCAAGGCGACGAUCCGUAGCUGGUCUGAGAGGAUGAUCCGCCACACUGGAACUGAGACACGGUCCAGACUCCUACGGGAGGCAGCAGUGGGGAAUAUUGGACAAUGGGCGCAAGCCUGAUCCAGCCAUACCGCGUGGGUGAAGAAGGCCUUCGGGUUGUAAAGCCCUUUUGUUGGGAAAGAAAAGCGGCAGGUUAAUACCCCGCUGUUCUGACGGUACCCAAAGAAUAAGCACCGGCUAACUUCGUG
rnacentral:rRNA from 1 species